UCGCCGAUCCCUACUUGCCUUCUCCCCGAUCCCACGCGCUUCUUCCCUCUGCCAAGCCCUUUCUCUUCUCCGACGCCGACGACGCCACCAAGGGAAUUGAUCGCCGGCGGUUGAGCACCUCCUUCAACCACCGUCCACCAGAUCUGGGAGAGGAUUUGUUGGUUUGGCGCCAUUGGAUCGAUUAAGUGCCAAACCGAUCGCCGACGAGGGUCUUCUACCGGAGCUUUGAGAGAGGGGCUAGCUUCAUCCGAGCUAUCUUCUUGCGGACCUGUGCCCUAGAUCGCCGGGAGCCGGGAGCUUGCGUCGACACCACUGUCGCCGAUGGCAAGGGGAUUCGGUUGAAGAGGUGUUUCUUGAGCUGUGGUUUGUAAUUGAUCAGUGAUGAUCUUCCGAUUGGGUGAUUUCUUCUUCCUUGCUGCAGGCUAAUCUGUUGAGGGAGGAUCUGUUUUGUGGAUUUCAAAUUGAAUGCUGUGAGUUCUUUGAUCCAGCAAUUCAUCCUGUUACUGGCAACAACAAUCCCUACUGUAGAUCUACAAUCAGGGCAGUGAAUUGAGGUCCUGUUUCUGUGGGGUUUCUAUUGGUUACGAUAGCCACCUCAUCCAGUAGCUCUUCUGGUUCCAGCUAUCAACAGCAGUGUGUAGAAUUAGGAUUCUGAUUCGAGACAGGCGUCUCAACGUUUACUUCGAAUUUGGGAUUGUACCUUCU